rnacentral:lncRNA from 7 species
UCGAGCAGUAACAAAAAAGGAACUAGAAAGUUAACAGGUGCAGACAAGGAUAAAAUGAACAUGAAUAUGCACACUGUAGUUUCUACACGUUAACAUAAAAAAUACAAAAAAAAUGUAAUUAUGAUAUGAAAAAGAGGGACCCAAAAUACUGCAGUUAAAUCUAAAAGUUUCUUUUAUGUUGAAUUUAUCUCACACUCUUGUGUUAAGACGGACC